rnacentral:tRNA from 1 species
UACGUUUAAGUAUGAGUUGUAUAAGAAUUUUUGAUAUUUUAGGGGGCAGUUGAAUUCUGCCAAACGUAA